rnacentral:rRNA from 1 species
UACGUAGGGGGCAAGCGUUGUCCGGAAUCAUUGGGCGUAAAGCGCGCGCAGGCGGUCUCUUAAGUCUGAUGUGAAAGCCCACGGCUCAACCAUGGAGGGUCAUUGGAAACUGGGAGACUUGAGUGCAGAAGAGAAGAGUGGAAUUCCACGUGUAGCGGUGAAAUGCGUAGAGAUGUGGAGGAACACCAGUGGCGAAGGCGACUCUUUGGUCUGUAACUGACGCUGAGGCGCGAAAGCGUGGGGAGCAAACAGG